CGGAAGUAGCGUCGGCGCGGAAGCUGAGCGGAGUGGCCUUGCCACCGGAGGGGAAGGGCUGCUGGCGUUAGGCCUACCUGGGUCGUGCGGCUGAGCGUGAGGCUAGAAAGAAAAAGCGAUCCUCCAAGGGUGAGAACGGGAGAUCUGCCGAGGAUAACAACCUCCCUUGUGGCCUAAGGGCGGGGAAUCCCCACACGAGGGCUCCGUUUCGAGAGACGGCGACAGAGGAAAGUUCGUAGCGCGUUCCGGAGGCCCGGCCACCUCUGAGAAGGGAGAUGCUGCUGGGUCCCCUGAGCGGGGCGACCCGAGGUUAAGGCUACCUUUCCAGAUAGUCCAACAGCUAAAUCACCAGUUUCCAAGGGCAUUUGCAUCACCUAUGGAAAGCAUCGGAUCCUUAUACACCAGAUGUUCUUGACAGCUCAUCCCAUCAUUCCCCCUGCACAAAAGUUGCUAUACCAGCGGACAACCAAGACAACUACUGAGCUUCUUUUGAUUGUCAAGUAGAUAUAAUAUCACUGCCAGCAAAACAGCACAAAAAGUGUCUCUUCACAGUAUCACUACCAAUUGGGACUAUGCUAAGUAAAUCAGCUUGCCUAGAUGAGGACCCCUUCUAUUCUUGGGUAGCCAGAAUUUGAAGGAGAUACUCUGACCUGUGCCACUGGUAAGUGACUAACACUUUUACACACUGAACUGGUCCUGGAAACUGAGAUGUCUUCCUUGUAAGUGAAGAAUAUACAACAUAAUCUUGAAGAA
rnacentral:sRNA from 1 species